rnacentral:ncRNA from 1 species
GAGUGAUCGGCAUUCUAACGACAGGCCGGAAGCCGAUAUUUCUUCAAUGCGACAACAAAUUACACAAGCAUCGAGAAAGCCGGUCUGGCGCAUUGACAGCUCUUCAGGUUUAUGCAAGAGCAAAAGAAAUGGAACCGAUACAUGCUGCAAAUUGCGGGCCUAUUAUUGGCAAAGCCUUCUAUUCCGGCAAGCUCAGCGUAAUGACUUAUUUGUUACCUGGAUAAAACCAGCCCGAAAAUGGGGCCUGGCGUUUCCCAUUGCCC